UUAAGUUAUUAAGGGCGCACGGUGGAUGCCUUGGCACUAGAAGCCGAUGAAGGACGUUACUAACGACGAUAUGCUUUGGGGAGCUGUAAGUAAGCUUUGAUCCAGAGAUUUCCGAAUGGGGAAACCCAGCAUGAGUUAUGUCAUGUUAUCGAUAUGUGAAUACAUAGCAUAUCAGAAGGCACACCCGGAGAACUGAAACAUCUUAGUACCCGGAGGAAGAGAAAGAAAAUUCGAUUCCCUUAGUAGCGGCGAGCGAAACGGGAAGAGCCCAAACCAACAAGCUUGCUUGUUGGGGUUGUAGGACACUCUNUACGGAGUUACAAAGGACGACAUUAGACGAAUCAUCUGGAAAGAUGAAUCAAAGAAGGUAAUAAUCCUGUAGUCGAAAAUGUUGUCUCUCUUGAGUGGAUCCUGAGUACGACGGAGCACGUGAAAUUCCGUCGGAAUCUGGGAGGACCAUCUCCUAAGGCUAAAUACUCUCUAGUGACCGAUAGUGAACCAGUACCGUGAGGGAAAGGUGAAAAGCACCCCGGAAGGGGAGUGAAAUAGAACCUGAAACCGUGUGCUUACAAGUAGUCAGAGCCCGUUAAUGGGUGAUGGCGUGCCUUUUGUAGAAUGAACCGGCGAGUUACGAUUUGAUGCAAGGUUAAGCAGUAAAUGUGGAGCCGUAGCGAAAGCGAGUCUGAAUAGGGCGUUUAGUAUUUGGUCGUAGACCCGAAACCAGGUGAUCUACCCUUGGUCAGGUUGAAGUUCAGGUAACACUGAAUGGAGGACCGAACCGACUUACGUUGAAAAGUGAGCGGAUGAACUGAGGGUAGCGGAGAAAUUCCAAUCGAACCUGGAGAUAGCUGGUUCUCUCCGAAAUAGCUUUAGGGCUAGCCUCAAGUGAUGAUUAUUGGAGGUAGAGCACUGUUUGGACGAGGGGCCCCUCUCGGGUUACCGAAUUCAGACAAACUCCGAAUGCCAAUUAAUUUAACUUGGGAGUCAGAACAUGGGUGAUAAGGUCCGUGUUCGAAAGGGAAACAGCCCAGACCACCAGCUAAGGUCCCAAAAUAUAUGUUAAGUGGAAAAGGAUGUGGCGUUGCCCAGACAACUAGGAUGUUGGCUUAGAAGCAGCCAUCAUUUAAAGAGUGCGUAAUAGCUCACUAGUCGAGUGACACUGCGCCGAAAAUGUACCGGGGCUAAACAUAUUACCGAAGCUGUGGAUUGUCCUUUGGACAAUGGUAGGAGAGCGUUCUAAGGGCGUUGAAGCAUGAUCGUAAGGACAUGUGGAGCGCUUAGAAGUGAGAAUGCCGGUGUGAGUAGCGAAAGACGGGUGAGAAUCCCGUCCACCGAUUGACUAAGGUUUCCAGAGGAAGGCUCGUCCGCUCUGGGUUAGUCGGGUCCUAAGCUGAGGCCGACAGGCGUAGGCGAUGGAUAACAGGUUGAUAUUCCUGUACCACCUAUAAUCGUUUUAAUCGAUGGGGGGACGCAGUAGGAUAGGCGAAGCGUGCGAUUGGAUUGCACGUCUAAGCAGUAAGGCUGAGUAUUAGGCAAAUCCGGUACUCGUUAAGGCUGAGCUGUGAUGGGGAGAAGACAUUGNGUCUUCGAGUCGUUGAUUUCACACUGCCGAGAAAAGCCUCUAGAUAGAAAAUAGGUGCCCGUACCGCAAACCGACACAGGUAGUCAAGAUGAGAAUUCUAAGGUGAGCGAGCGAACUCUCGUUAAGGAACUCGGCAAAAUGACCCCGUAACUUCGGGAGAAGGGGUGCUCUUUAGGGUUAACGCCCAGAAGAGCCGCAGUGAAUAGGCCCAAGCGACUGUUUAUCAAAAACACAGGUCUCUGCUAAACCGUAAGGUGAUGUAUAGGGGCUGACGCCUGCCCGGUGCUGGAAGGUUAAGAGGAGUGGUUAGCUUCUGCGAAGCUACGAAUCGAAGCCCCAGUAAACGGCGGCCGUAACUAUAACGGUCCUAAGGUAGCGAAAUUCCUUGUCGGGUAAGUUCCGACCCGCACGAAAGGCGUAACGAUUUGGGCACUGUCUCAACGAGAGACUCGGUGAAAUCAUAGUACCUGUGAAGAUGCAGGUUACCCGCGACAGGACGGAAAGACCCCGUGGAGCUUUACUGUAGCCUGAUAUUGAAAUUCGGCACAGCUUGUACAGGAUAGGUAGGAGCCUUUGAAACGUGAGCGCUAGCUUACGUGGAGGCGCUGGUGGGAUACUACCCUAGCUGUGUUGGCUUUCUAACCCGCACCACUUAUCGUGGUGGGAGACAGUGUCAGGCGGGCAGUUUGACUGGGGCGGUCGCCUCCUAAAAGGUAACGGAGGCGCUCAAAGGUUCCCUCAGAAUGGUUGGAAAUCAUUCAUAGAGUGUAAAGGCAUAAGGGAGCUUGACUGCGAGACCUACAAGUCGAGCAGGGUCGAAAGACGGACUUAGUGAUCCGGUGGUUCCGCAUGGAAGGGCCAUCGCUCAACGGAUAAAAGCUACCCCGGGGAUAACAGGCUUAUCUCCCCCAAGAGUUCACAUCGACGGGGAGGUUUGGCACCUCGAUGUCGGCUCAUCGCAUCCUGGGGCUGUAGUCGGUCCCAAGGGUUGGGCUGUUCGCCCAUUAAAGCGGUACGCGAGCUGGGUUCAGAACGUCGUGAGACAGUUCGGUCCCGUCGUGGGCGUAGGAAAUUUGAGAGGAGCUGUCCUUAGUACGAGAGGACCGGGAUGGACAUACCUCUGGUGUACCAGUUGUCGUGCCAACGGCAUAGCUGGGUAGCUAUGUGUGGACGGGAUAAGUGCUGAAAGCAUCUAAGCAUGAAGCCCCCCUCAAGAUGAGAUUUCCCAACUUCGGUUAUAAGAUCCCUCAAAGAUGAUGAGGUUAAUAGGUUCGAGGUGGAAGCAUGGUGACAUGUGGAGCUGACGAAUACUAAUCGAUCGAAGACUUAAUCAA
rnacentral:rRNA from 1 species